GUAAGUUCUGCGGUCAAUAGAGGGCACUGUGGAGUGCGAAGACAUACGUACACCUAACUUGGCAUAUCUAGCCUCGAGUUAGAGUUAGAAAAUGGGAGGAGGGCACAGAGACUAGACACGGACAAAGAGGUGGCUCUGUGGAAAGGAUGCUAUUGCAGUCGCUUUUAGAAAUUAAUGAUACCAAAGCACCGAGGAGGAA
rnacentral:lncRNA from 1 species